rnacentral:rRNA from 1 species
UACGUAGGGCGCAAGCGUUGUCCGGAAUUAUUGGGCGUAAAGAGCUCGUAGGCGGUUUGCCGCGUCUGCCGUGAAAGCCCGGGGCUCAACCCCGGACUUGCAGUGGGUACGGGCAGACUAGAGUGUGGUAGGGGAGACUGGAAUUCCUGGUGUAGCGGUGAAAUGCGCAGAUAUCAGGAGGAACACCAAUAGCGAAGGCAGCUCGCUGGGACGGUACUGACGCUAAGGCGCGAAAGCGUGGGGAGCGAACAGG